CAUAGCGUCUCACCUUUCCCACCAAAAUUUGGGGAAGGAGAGGAUGAUGGCCUCCCAUGCCACACAUAGUAUGGAUGGUCUAAAUAAGGAGCCUUGGGUUACUAGAAGCCGUGGCAAUUGGUGGUAUACAAGGCCUUUGCUUGUCAAGCAUCUUGCUACGGAAUAAGUAUCCUUUGUGGCCUCGCAGGACCCUUUGAUAACCUUU
rnacentral:misc_RNA from 1 species